UACGGGGGGGGGCAAGCGUUUGUUCGGAAUUACUGGGCGUAAAGGGCUCGUAGGCGGCCAACUAAGUCGGACGUGAAAUCCCUCGGCUUAACCGGGGAACUGCGUCCGAUACUGGAUGGCUUGAGGUUGGGAGAGGGAUGCGGAAUUCCAGGUGUAGCGGUGAAAUGCGCAGAUAUCGGGAAGAACACCCGUGGCGAAGGCGGUUCUCUGGGACGGUACUGACGCUGAGACGCGAAAGCGUGGGGAGCAAACAGG
rnacentral:rRNA from 1 species